rnacentral:rRNA from 1 species
GACGUAGGGCGCAAGCGUUGUCCGGAUUUAUUGGGCGUAAAGAGCUCGUAGGCGGCUUGUUGCGUCGACCGUGAAAACCCGUGGCUCAACUGCGGGCUUGCGGUCGAUACGGGCGGGCUAGAGUUCGGUAGGGGAGACUGGAAUUCCUGGUGUAGCGGUGAAAUGCGUAGAUAUCAAGAGGAACACCUGAGGUGAAGACGGGUUGCUGGGCUGACACUGACGCUGAGUGCGCGAAAGCCAGGGGAGCAAACGGG